UUGACAAAACUAACUGACCUGCAUUUUAGCCAUAGAGAGACUACGUAACGGUCACCUGACCCAUGGUCAUGUGACGUACUUUGUUUACGUCGUCAAGGUGAUGCGGUCAUGUGAAGCGCACUACCCGAAAGUGACGCAUUUGGCGUCCCGGCUGAUCGCCAGGUCCAUUAGGCUAUUUAAGAGAGGGCUAGGGUGAUGGUAGUUGUCUGCGGCGUGGAUCAUCAGCCGCAGAACAGGUUUAUUUUUCCUAAGAAAUGCCGUUUUGGGGAUUGGUAUCUCAUUAGUGACAGCAUAUGGGGGCUUUAGUGUGUAUAUCUGAUGCCUUAAGCUAUACUUUAUCUAGUGGGAUCCUAUUCAGUUCAUAUCUUUGAGGGGAUUCAUCUAUCAGUGAAUCACUGUUUUUUGGCAGAAUUUUUUGGUAUACUAUUGUCUGGAGGACUAAUAAUGCGUAAGACGCUACAAGCAAUUCGUUCAGCCUAUCGUCUGUUUCUACAUAAUCCAGUGAAGGCUUAGUACUAUGUCUAUUUGUGCCACUCUGAGUCUGUAUCGCUACCUGCAUACUUAGAAUUUAUGUGCUUAUGUGAUUUUUUAUGUGCAUGAAUUUUUCUACCAUUCUGUCACAUUAUUCCCCUUCUUUAUGUGCAGUUCUAUAUCUAUAUGUAUUUAUUUGCUUAUUGUAUUUUGUGAUCCCCUGAUGAACCGCUGUAUGUCAUAAGAUAAGUGGGGAAACGCGUUGGGAUAUACAGGUGUUCAUCAUAGGAGAACCUAUAUGUGUAUAUGUUCUUUUAUUAUAUUUUUUCAAAACAUUUUUUCUCUAUACUUGAUGUGGGAUUUUUUAAGGAAUUAAUAAAUGGUUGUUUUAGCUUAAUGAGAUUUUGUAAAUUUUUUUUUUAGUCU